UUUAUGGAGAGUUUGAUCCUGGCUCAGGAUGAACGCUGGCGGCGUGCCUAAUACAUGCAAGUCGAGCGAACAGACAAGGAGCUUGCUCCUUUGACGUUAGCGGCGGACGGGUGAGUGACACGUGGGUAACCUACCUAUAAGACUGGGAUAACUUCGGGAAACCGGAGCUAAUACCGGAUAAUAUUUCGAACCGCAUGGUUCGAUAGUGAAAGAUGGUUUUGCUAUCACUUAUAGAUGGACCCGCGCCGUAUUAGCUAGUUGGUAAGGUAACGGCUUACC
rnacentral:rRNA from 1 species